rnacentral:rRNA from 1 species
UACGGAAGGCAGCAGUGGGGAAUUUUGGACAAUGGGCGCAAGCCUGAUCCAGCCAUGCCGCGUGAGUGAAGAAGGCCUUCGGGUUGUAAAGCUCUUUCGGACGGAAAGAAAUCGCGCAGGCUAAUACCCUGCGCGGAUGACGGUACCGUCAUAAGAAGCACCGGCUAACUACGUGCCAGCAGCCGCGGUAAUACGUAGGGUGCGAGCGUUAAUCGGAAUUACUGGGCGUAAAGGGCACGCAGGCGGUUAAUUAAGUUGGAUGUGAAAUCCCCGGGCUUAACCUGGGAAUGGCAUUCAAGACUGGUUAGCUAGAGUCUUGUAGAGGGGGUAGAAUUCCAUGUGUAGCGGUGAAAUGCGUAGAGAUGUGGAGGAAUACCGGUGGCGAAGGCGGCCCCUGGACAAAGACUGACGCUCAUGUGCGAAAGCGUGGGGAGCAAACAGGGAUUAGAUACCCGU